rnacentral:rRNA from 1 species
AUUGAACGCUGGCGGCAGGCCUAACACAUGCAAGUCGAGCGGCAGCAGGUCCUUCGGGAUGCCGGCGAGCGGCGGACGGGUGAGUAAUGCCUAGGAAUCUGCCUGGUAGUGGGGGAUAACGUUCGGAAACGGACGCUAAUACCGCAUACGUCCUACGGGAGAAAGUGGGGGAUCUUCGGACCUCACGCUAUCAGAUGAGCCUAGGUCGGAUUAGCUAGUUGGGGGGGUAAAGGCUCAGCAAGGCGACGAUCCGUAACUGGUCUGAGAGGAUGAGCAGUCACACUGGAACGGAGACACGGUCCAGACUCCUACUGGAGGCAGCAGUGGGGAAUAUUGGACAAUGGGCGAAAGCCUGAUCCAGCCAUGCCGCGUGUGUGAAGAAGGUCUUCGGAUUGUAAAGCACUUUAAGUUGGGAGGAAGGGCAGUCAGUUAAUACCUGGUUGUUUUGACGUUACCAACAGAAUAAGCACCGGCUAACUUCGUGCCAGCAGCCGCUGUAAAAC